UACGGGGGGGGCAAGCGUUGUUCGGAAUUACUGGGCGUAAAGCGCGCGUAGGCGGAAGGUGAAGCGUGGCCUGAAAGCCCCCGGCUCAACCGGGGAAGGCGGCUGCGAACUGGCCUUCUUGAGGGCGAUAGAGGGGGGCGGAAUUCCUGGUGUAGCGGUGAAAUGCGCAGAUAUCGGGAGGAACACCGGUGGCGAAGGCGGUUCUCUGGGCCUUACCUGACGCUGAGGAGCGAAAGCGUGGGGAGCGAACAGG
rnacentral:rRNA from 1 species